UAACUCUAUUUAAGUUUAAACAUAAAAUCACUAUAUUAUUUAUUAAUAGUAUUAUUGUUUAGUUUAAUAAAAGUUUUAUUACUACUGUAUUAUAUACAAAUAUAUAUAAAAUACUUUCUUUCAUAUGUUAUAUAUAGUUUUGGAUUGACCGGCUGAGGACACAACUCUAAUUUGAAGAUACAAAGGAUGGUGUGCUACUCAGGCGGCUUGGGAACAAAAAAUUUUCAAGUCUGUAAGAUUAACUACGAUUAAUAACCUUUCUCGAAGCAGCUCGAAAAAAAAGAAUUAAGGUCAGUUACUUAACUAAAAAAUAAGCUAGAAAUGAAGUAUCUAAAACUAACCCGAGAAAAAGAAGAAGUAAAUACGAGAGCUUAAUUAUCUUCAGCAAACUUUAAAGAGAGAUAUAGUUGAGCAGUUUACAAGGUGAGGAUCUAGAAAAAAGCAAGUUCAGAAAAUAAGCAGAGCGUAUCCUUAGAUUAAACUAGAUUCCCCAUAAGAAGUCAGAAAUGAAACUUGCCCCUUUUUGAGUAAAAUUAAGGGUGGUAGUAUUCGUCUUGCAUGGAAUAGUUAUGUUUUUUAAAGACAAGUUAAAGCGUAGGGUAUUUCAAGGGAAGUAUGACAAGCUUUUACAGGUAGGUUACCAGAAUUAACGAAGGAGUACGAGCGGAAUCAUGGAGAACUCAAAACCCGAAAUGAAAAACGCUUGCGAAGAGGAUAAACAAUUUAAACCAAAAGCAUAAAUGCAAUUGUGCGAUGAUUUUCCAGGCCCAAAUCGACAAGGUAUUGUUAAGCAUUAUACAUUUUCGACUGAAAAACUUAAUAUAAAAGCGAGGAACAGCAACAGCUUUAUAUUUAGAUAAUGCUUAAGAUCUUUAUCAGCGGGGUUAGAGAAAAAGAGUAAAUCAUAUUAUGCUUUCCAAUGCCGGACGGUGUAGGGUGCAAUGGACUGUAUUAUAUUACCUUCUGAUUAUGAAAUGCUCUAUUUGAAUACCAGAGGGCAUGGAAUUCGUAACAGCUGCCCUCAGAGACACAUGUUUAAAUGGAUGACUGCCUAAUCUGAUGAUGGGUCAUUUAAGGCUUUGCGCUUUUAUUUCCAGGUAUGGGAACUUUAACGUAAAACUAAGACUUAUGGAAUGUAUUUUUUUUAAAGAUCUCUGUAAAAUAGUAUAAAUAUAGGAUAAGUAAGAAAGGCUCUUGGAUGUGUGCGGAAAGGCUACAAGCCUUUAGUUACACUACCCUAAAAAACAAAAAAAAAUAUGCGGUUUGUUGCAGAUGUUGAACUAUAGGAGUAUUACAAACCGAACCACGCUGUAUUACUGGAGCCUUUAAACAGGUUACUUAGAGAAUAUAAAAGUGAUCUGGGGAGAUGUACAGAGGUCUGCUUGUGGGAAGGGUUUAAACAUUUUAGAAGCGAAAGUAUAUGUGGAACAAGUGAAAUCCAAUGAAGAUUAGACUAGUGCCUUUAACAGUAAAAUGUGUGAUCUUUACUUCAACGAUAUGGCGGCCAAUCAAAAGAAGCGGAGUAGAUGAGGUUGUAACGUAUGUUAUUUUAGUGCACUGACACUUUCUGCUCUAGUGACUGAAGCAUAAUAAAGAU